GAUAGCCCAGCAGGCCACCGCCCU
rnacentral:piRNA from 1 species